GGGAUGUUGGCUCAGUGGUAGAGCGCUUGCCUUGCAUGCAAGAGGCCCUGGGUUCGAUUCCUCAGCACCACA
rnacentral:tRNA from 1 species